ensembl:misc_RNA 7SK 7SK RNA
GGAUGUGAGGGUGAUCUGGCUGAGACAUCUGUCACCCCAUUGAUCACCAGGGUUGAUUCGGCUGAUCUGGCUGGCUAGGCAGGUGUCCCUUUCCUCCCUCACUGCUCCAUGUGUGUCCCUCCCGAAGCUGCGCGCUCUGUCGAAGAGGAAGACCAUCCCCGAUAGAGGAGGACCGGUCUUCCAUCAAGGAUAUACGAGUAGCUGCGCUCCCCUGCUAGAACCUCCAAACAAGCUCUCAAGAAGUAAAUGAGUGACCAUGAGAUUUUGGUAGCUUUUAAAAACCAUAUGAAAGUUGAAAAACUUCACAU